AAGUCGUAACAAGGUUUCCGUAGGUGAACCUGCGGAAGGAUCAUUAUUGAAUGAACUUGGUGUGGUUGUAGCUGGCCCUCUCGUCGGGGGCAUGUGCACACCCGCCAUCUUUAUCUCUCCACCUGUGCACAUCUUGUAGACCUGGAUAGACUUUCCGAGGCAACUCGGUCGGGAGGACUGCUGUGCGUCACUGCCGGCUUUCCUUGCAUAUCUAGGCCUAUGUUUUCAUAUACCCCAUAGUAUGUAACAGAAUGUAUCAUUGGGCCUCGUGCCUAUAAACUAUAUACAG
rnacentral:misc_RNA from 1 species